rnacentral:rRNA from 1 species
CCCGCACAAGCGGUGGAGUUAUGUGGUUUAAUUCGAUGCAACGCGAAGAACCUUACCUGGCCUUGACAUCCCGGGAAUUUCCUGGAAACAGGAGAGUGCUUUCAUUAGAGAGAACCUGGAGACAGGUGCUGCAUGGCUGUCGUCAGCUCGUGUCGUGAGAUGUUGGGUUAAGUCCCGCAACGAGCGCAACCCUUGCCUUUAGUUGCCAGCAGUUCGGCUGGGCACUCUAAAGGGACUGCCGGUGUCAAACCGGAGGAAGGUGGGAUGACGUCAAGUCCUCAUGGCCUUUAUGGCCAGGGCUACACACGUACUACAAUGGCCGGUACAAAGGGCAGCGACAUUGCGAGAUGGAGCGAAUCCCGAAAAGCCGGUCUCAGUUCGGAUUGCAGGCUGCAAUUCGCCUGCAUGAAGUCGGAAUCGCUAGUAAUCGCAGGUCAGCAUACUGCGGUGAAUACGUUCCCGGGCCUU